UCUGGUCUAUCAUGUGAAGACGAAGUGGGUGAACCGAACCGAUCCAAAUUUUGGAACUAACCAUAGAAACGAACAAGGAAAGAAGAAACGUCAGCAAUGGCGAUGGCAAUGCUUCUGUCUUCUCCAGCUUCAGCUUCACCGCCAACUGCACUCUCUCACCUCAACCGCCAGCAGCAAUCUUCAAUUUCAUUCAUUCAUCUACCUUCUCUCUCUCGCUCUUCACCGCCAUCGCUCUCACACACCUUCAAUCCCCUCAGGUCCUUCAUCGGUCACCACGGAAUCACAAGCUUCUCCAAAUCCAAUACCGGUAACCGAAACGCGGCGUUUCGCAUCCUUUGUUAUGCUCCCGCUCCUCUCACUACUUCCAAUCUCCAAUGGAUCUCUACCGUUUCGUCAAUUGUUUUGAUGUUGGCAAAAGGCACUGCGGUGCCGAAAUCGUAUAUUGUUCCGUUGUUUGCGUUGCAAGCACCUGCUGGUGUCGUUUCCUGGAUCAAAGGUAGAUAUGGUGUGUGGACGGCAUUCUUGGCACUUUUGAUUCGUCUAUUCUUCUAUAUUCCUGGUGAGCUUGAAUUGCCGUUUCUGGCAUUACUCUUGGUGAUGAUAGCUCCUUAUGAGGCUAUGAAAUUAAGGCACACCAAAGAAGGUGCCGUGGUUUCAUUGUUGAUUGCGGUGUAUUUGGCUUUCCAGCACUUCUCAAGAACAAGCUUACAGCAAUCAUUUGACCAAGGUGACGGGGUAUAGAUGAACUGAUGUGAUUCUUGGACUCACGUUCAUUCAACAAUUUUGUGAUGCACAUGAGCUACAGGUUUGGAAACUGUCAUCAUUUGUGCCUGAAGAUAAACUUCGAUCAUGUUUUCGAUUGGCAAAUUCUAUCUUCAAAAUUAAACGGCUCUUAAUAAUGAAAAGUUGGUUUUUGCGUGAAGGAGAAAAGCAAAGUAAAAUGCUAUUCCUUGUUAAUGUUACCUGAACCAUAGAAAAGACACAAGGAGAAUAACACGAAGUGGCAGCUUCUAGUACCCAUUACUGCAGAUUGGCUUGUGCUUUAGAUUGCGGGUGUUUCCUUGUUGUUCUGGGGAAAUGUUUACGUGCUAAGAUUUAUUAAACUAGGCCAGCACCUUGUCUGUUCCUGUGAAGAGGAAUUUGAUUACAUCUUUUUAUAUUUUAAAAAUGAGAAAAUGUUGAAGAAUCAUAGCUUUCUUGGAUCAAAGAGAGAAGGAAGAAUAUAAGCAAACUUGAGAAAGGAGACAUGGGAUAGUUGAAAUAAGCAAGCAAGAGAAGGUGCAAACAGAGGGGGGAAAAGGUGCAUGGCUAAGGAAAAAGGUGAAAGGGGUGAUCAGAUGCUUAAGAGGUUUGUAAUGAAGAAAGUUGUCUCCCUUCUAAGUACGAUUCCUUUCCUAAGAAACUCAAGCUAUUAUGCUGCUGCUUCUGCUGCCUUCUCCAACAAGAACUCUGAAUACUCUUGUCAUUCUUAAGCUUCCUUCUCUCAGCUAUGUUGCCUAUUCUAACCCAAUCAAAUUCUCUAUCGCAUAACUUCUAUUA